UUCAUGCUUCGAAGGGUAAAAAGUGAUGUUCAUAAUGAUAACAACUGGAAACAUUCAACAUCGCCUCAGAAAACACCAACUCGAAGAAACUAAACUAUUGAUGCCAGUGACUGAAGGGAGAGGUUUUUGAAAGGUACGUUCUUGCUUCAAAGGGUAAAAAGUAAUGUUAUUUGUAAUGAUAUCAACUGGAAACAUCAUCGCAUCAGAAGACACUAACUCGAAGAAACUAAUCUAUUGACGCCAGUGACUGAAGGGAGAGCUUUUCAAAAUGUACGUUCAUGCUUCGAAGGGUAAAAAGUGAUGUUCGUAAUGAUAUCAACUGGAAACAUCAUCGCAUCAGAAGACACUAACUCGAAGAAACUAAUCUAUUAACGCCAGUGACUGAAGGGAGAGGUUUUCAAAAUGUACGUUCAUGCUUCGAAGGGUAAAAAGUGAUGUUCGUAAUGAUAUCAAGUGGAAGCAUUCAACAUCGCCUCAGAAAACACCAACUCGAAGAAACUAAUCUAUUGACGCCAGUGACUGAAGGGAGAGGUUUUCAAAAUGUACGUUCAUGCUUCGAAGGGUAAAAAGUGAUGUUCAUAAUGAUAGCAACUGGAAACAUUCAACAUCACAUCAGAAGACACCAACUUAGAGAAACUAAACUAUUGACGCCAGUGACUGAUGGGAGAGCAUUUCAAUAUGUCAAUUUGUGUUGUGUUCCAAAGGCUCAAGGUACAGGACGAGGCUCUUACGAAAACACAGACUCAUACAAACUGGUGUCAACUUGUAGAAAACUUCAGAUGUGAGUUCAUGCUCCGAGGUUGAAAGUUGAAACGUGCUGAGUUGAGGCUGUUCGUACUGACCCGCCCUCCGCUCCUAAGACAAUGAUGAUAUUCCUGAUGGCUUCCUCUGUCGCUCCUGUUACGGUUAUACUUUUUAUGUACACUUAGAAGGUUACUUUAAGCUGAAGAAGAGGGUUUUUCGGUAGUUAGUAAUCGUGUGAGAGAGAGGACGAGAGAGGCAGGUAAAUAUGAUAGAAGACUUUGUUGAUGUUUUCCGAGUUUGAGAAAUUAAUGAGACACUUUAUUGUUGUGUUAAGAUGCGCCGGGUCCUUUUAAAUGUCGUGUUGGUAUUUGUUAAUGCUCGUGUGGGUGGUUUGGCUUUUAACUCCACCCCUCAUCACACCCGUCCCUCCCCUCAUUAUGCCACCCCCUUCCAACACACAUCAUCCCCUCUUACCCCUGCCCCCUUAGUUUAGCUUCUAACACCUCCACCCCUCCCAUCACACCCUCCCUUUCCUCAAUACGCCACCCCCUUCCACCCCCCCCUCCCCCCCAACACACACCAUCCCGUCCCACCCCUGUCCUUGUAGUUUAGCUCUCCACUCUAUUUUAGGAACGAAGUCAAAAGUGUUGGAUUUCCAGAGUUAAGUCGACACAUUGCACUCUGUUGUAAGAAAGAGAUACGGAAAAAAUCAGGAAAACCAACCAACCUCGCCCCAAAAAACAGGUAAAUUUAGGGAUGGCGUAAGUCUGAAGUGUUGGAUUUUCACAGAGUUAAGAGUUGACACAUUACGAACUUAGUCAUAAAAAGAAAUAUAAAAAAGAAAUCCACAAAACAGACCAAUGACACCUUGAAAAACAGGUCAAUUUAGGAAUGGAUUUAGUCAGAAGUGUUCGAUUUUCACAGAGUUAAGAGUCGACACAUUACGAACUUAGUCAUAAAAAGAUAUAUAUACAAAAAAUCCACAAAACCAACCAAUUACGCCUUGAAAAACAGGUCAAUUUCAGGACGGUGUAAGUUAGCAUUGUUCGAUUUUCACAGAGUUAAGAGUCAACACACCUCACGAACUUGGUCAUAAAAAGAGAUACCGUACAUGAAAGAAAUCCACAAAUUCAACUAACCACGCUUUCAGAAGAGGUAAACAAAAGGUCAAAUCAGCCACAUCAAUGUUAAGAAAUACUAACACCCGACGUUUAAAAGACCAGGCGAGAGUGUUGAGAAUUAUUACGAGCUGUGAAGUCAAAAAAUGUGCUGCAGGAAGGAGGAUCAGGAAUGCAAGUUGGUACGUUUAUAGUCCCCUUGUACAGUAGGAUAAGAGAACUGAAUGAUUAUAAAGGGAGUUGAAGGUUGAGUGUUUUUUUAAGGGAUUUGAAGGAUGUAUAGAUGCUUAAAUGACUCGGAAAGAUUGAUAACGGAAAGAGUGUGUGUGUAUAAGUGUUACGAGGCCUCGGAAAGUGAUUUUUUAAGGGAUUUGAAGAAUGUAUAGAUGCUUAGAUAACUCGGAAAGAUUGAUAACGGAAAGAGUGUGUGUGUAUAAGUGUUACGAGGCCUCAGAAAGUGAUUUUUUAAGUGAUUUGAAGGAUGUAUAGAUUCUUAGUUACCUUGGAAAGACUUAUAAUGAAGAGAGUGUGUAUAAAUGUGUUAAGAGGCCUCGGAAAGAUUGAUAACUGAAAGAGUGUGUGCGUGUAAGUGUUACAAGGCCUCGGAAAGUGAUUUUUUAAGUGAUUUGAAGGAUGUAUAGAUGCUUAGUUACCUCGGAAAGACAAUGAAAAUAGAGAGUGUAUAAAUGUGUUAAGAGGCCUCGGAAAGAUUGAUAACGGAAAGAGUGUGUGUGUAUAAGUGUUACGCAGCCUCGGAAAGUGAUUUUUUAAGAGAUUUGAAGGAUGUAUAGAUGCUUAGUUAUCUCGGAAAGACAAUGAAAAGAGAGUGUGUAUAAAUGUGUUAAGAGGCCUUGGAAAGAAUAACAAAGAGAGCAAGAAUGUGAUAGCGAGUUAUUUAUGAAACUAUUUGUACAGUAGACUAUGAAUUUGAGUGUGUGAAAAGACUUGUAAAUAGAUAAGGUCUGGAAUAUCUAUCUGAAAAAAUGUGGAGAGUUAAGAAAAUGGACGAGUGGAUAGAUUUGUAAUAGCUAGGAAGGUCUUUUGGUAAAUCAGUGAAAAAUAAAAAAAAGAUAUCGGAAUGGAUUUGGUGAUUGGAGGAUUAUUUUUUUGGUAUAAUUUAGGUGAUUUUGACGUGCGGAAAAGGUGAUAUUAAGACGAGAAAGAGAAACGUCAGUGAAAAAAGAUACAGGAAAGGAAAAUAAAUAAGAAAAGUAAGAAAACAAUAAACAACAAAAACAAGAACUAAACAAAAGCAAAAAAGAAAUAUGGAAAAGGAAAAUAAGUAAACAAGAAAAGCAAGAAAACAAUAAACAACAAAACAAAUGAAAACAAGAACCAGACAAAAGCAAAAAAGUGAAAAAGAAUAUUGAAAAGGAAAGUAAGUAAACAAGAAAAGCAAGAAAAUAAUAAACAACAAAGACAAAUAAAAACAACCGAACAAAAACAAAAAAGUGGAAAAGAAAGUUGGUGGAAAAGAAAAACAAAAAAAUAAGGGCAAGAAAAUGAUGAAAAGGAAAACAAACAAAAAACAAACAGCAAGAAAAUAAUAAACAACAAAGACAAAAAAAACAACCGAACAAAAGCGGAAAAGAAAGUCGGUGGAAAAGAAAAACAAAAAAAUAAGGGCAAGAAAAUUAUGAAAAGGAAAACAAACAAAAAACAAACAGCAAGAAAACAAUAAACAACAAAAACAAAUCAAAACAAGAACCGAACAAAAGCAAAAAGGCGAAAAAGAAACUUGGAAAAGGAAAACAAAAAAAAUAAGGGCAAGAAAAUGAUGAAAAGGAAAACAAAUAAAAAACAAACAGCAAGAAAACAAUAAACAACAAAAACAAAUAAAAACAAGAACCAAACGAGAGCAAAAAAGCGGAAAAGAAACUCGGUGGAAAAGGGAAAGAAAAAAAAGAUACGGGAAAAAAUGAUGAAAAGGAAAACAAAUAAAAAACAAACAUCAAGAAAAGAAGAGAAAAACAAAAACCUGGUAAAAAACAACAAUCCAAACAAGCGACGUAGAUAGCAAGAGGAAGGAGGAGGCUGUUUAAAAGGUGUUUGAUAUGAUAAGAAAGGUGUUUGAUCCGUUUCCCGAGCGUGUGUAAAUCUCAGUAACUGUAGACUCCGUAGUUUGUAGCCAAGGUGAAUGUUCGUUUAUUUGUAAGCAGGCUGUGAUACUCCUUGGGCAUGUCUCUGUUAUUCAUCUUAAUCCACGUAGACCCAGGCAAGGAAGGCGAGAGGAAGAACAUGAUGAAGAAGAGAAAGCGAUCUAUUAGUUAAAGGAGAAAGAGAAGCAAAACAUGUACUAAGAAGCAUGUCUCUGUUUCUCCUCUUAAUCCACGUAGACCCAGGCAAGGAAGGCGAGAGGAAGAAGAGGAUGAAGAAGAGAAAGCGAUCUACUAGUUGAAGGCAAAAGAGAAGGGAGAGAAGAUGUAUUAAAAAGCAUGUCUCUGUUUCUCCUCUUAAUCCACGUAGACCCAGGCAAGGAAGGCGUGAGGAAGAACAUGAAGGAGAGAAAGCGAUCUACUAGUUGAAGGCGAAAGAGAAGGGAGAGAUGUAUUAAAAAGCAUGUCUCUGUUUCUCGUCUCAAUCCACGUAGACCCAGGCAAGGAAGUCGAGAGGAGGAAAAGGAUGAAGAGGAGAAAGCGAUCGACUAAUUGAAGGAGAAAGAGAAGGGAGAGAAGAUGUAUUCAGAAGUAUAUGUCAUGUUUGUUGAUUUGCAUUGAACCAGCCAAGUGAAGAAGCCGAGAGGAAGGACACAUUGAGGAAAAGAAAGCGAUCGACUAAUUGAAAGCGAAAAAGAAGCGAGAGAAACUGUAUUAAGAAGCACCUGCGUUGAACCACCCAAGUGAAGAAAUAAUGAAUAAGAAGAGGAUGAGUAAGAGAAAGCGAUUUAUUGAUUAAGAGAGGAAAAGAAGCAAGAGAAAGUGUAUUAAGAAGCACCUGCGUUGAACCACCCAAGUGAAGAAGUUGUAAAUAAGAAGAGAAUGAGUAAGAGAAAGUGAUUUAUUGAUUAAGAGAGGAAAAGAAGCAAGCAAAAGUGUACAUAUUAAGAAGUAAGUGUCUUAUUUCUUGAUCUGGAAACCCCCAAGUGAAGAAAUAAUGAAUAAGAAGAGGAUGAGUAAGAGAAAGCGAUUUAUUGAUUAAGAGAGGAAAAGAAGCGAGAGAAAGUAUAUUAAGAAGUAAGUGUCUUGUUCCUUGAUGCACUUAGAACUAUCCAAAGAAGUCAGGAGCAAGAACAGGAUGAGGAAGAGAAAAAAAGAUAGAUUGACGAUGAGUGAGAGGAAAGAAAAGACAUAUUAAAAAGCCUCUUGAACCACACUGAACCAGGCAAAUAAAUGAAGAGGAAUAAGCACAGAGGAACAAAGAAGACAGUUAUGAGAGAGGGAAAGAAAACGUAUAUUGAGAAAGUAUCGUUUUGCCUCGGGAUUUACAAGAACCAAGCAAGCAAGGAAGGUAAAAGUGAGCACUGAACAGGGAGGAGAUUAGUAUUUCGAGACCCAAAGACCGGAUGAAAAAGAAAUGAAAGAUAAGGGUGGAGAAGAAGGAUGUCUGUGCUAAGUUGAGGAGAGAGUGAGUGAGGUAGUGAGAAAAAGAAAUGAGAGAGAGAAAGAGGGAGAGGGAGAGCUUUGGCAGAGAAGAAGGACAUCUGUGCUAAGUUGAGGAGAGAAAAUGAGGGAGUGAAAAUAAAGAAAAGGAAGGAAUGAGAGAGAGAGAGAGGGAGAGGGAGCUUUGGCCGAGAAGAAGGAUGUCUGUGCUAAAUUGAGGAGAGAAAAUGAGGGAGUGAGAAUAAAGAAUGAAGGAAUGAAAGUGAAAGAGAGAGAGAGAGAGAGAGAGGGGGAGCUUGCAGAGAAGGACAUCUGUGUUAAAUUGAGAAGAGAAAGCGAGGGAGUGAGAAUAAAGAAAAGGAAGGAAUGAGAGGGAGAGGGAGAGCUUCGGCAGAGUGUAGGGGCUUCCGCACAUGAGCUCUUUUCGUAUUCGUUAAUGUAUCCACGAACCUACUCAGCGCUUGCUUCCACCGUGCUCUGAUUACGUUCCCACUAGCCAGACGUACACACUCAGCAACUCAACCGCAACUCUAUCAGAACAACAACCAGAAAAUCCCCCCCACGCUAUGACAGUAAUCUUAAGAGUAAACCUUUAGCUCUAAGUGGUGUGAGAGGCGAGGGAGGAGGCGAUGCGUUCUUCCGUGUGUUGGUGGCGAGAGUUAAGAAAUGGUUAAGUUAGGAGCGUUUUUUGCAAGUGCUUUAUGUGACACGCCGCUUCGGAUGAUGGUGGCUAGAUGGCGUUGUGUGGUUGUUGCAUUGUGAUAUUAGAGAGUGUGUGUGAGUGAGAGAGAGAGAGAGAAAGAGGUUGGGGGUGAGAGGGCACUGGCAGCGUCCUUUUGUUUCCUGAUGCAAAUAGUCGUAAAUGUUUUAGUGAGUUAGUGUUACAAUGAGUGAGUGUUCGAAGUCAUAAUCCUUGCCUUGAAUUGUUCCUGAAUUUGCGCGUCAUACGAUAGAUCAUUAUUAUUGUUGUUGUUGUUGUCAUUAGUCUUUUUUUUCUUGGUGGGUUUGAGUUUGUUUUCAUCAUCCGUUGUGUCAGAAAAAAUCCGCUUCCGCCGCAAUCAAAACCGAAACUCCUGCAAAUAUUUUUUUUCCGAGCUGAGUUUUUGGUGUGAUUUUCUUAUUCUUUUUUUUCGUGAUAGCCUUGAGCUGCCUUUUUUUUUUAACAGGCUUUGGGCAGUGGCACGGAAGGAGGAGGAGGAGGCCUGACCCACCCUCCCACCACCGCUUUGACGAGUGUGAGGCAGAACAUAAAAAAAAAAGAUAAAAAAACAAACAAUUCUGUGAUAGCCAAGGACAAAAAAAACAAAAACAAAAAAAAGAUGUUAUUCCAUUGUGUCUGUCUGUUUGCCUUUCACAGGAGGACGUAUCGCGGCACAUCUUCUUUGGAAACCUGUAUAGAAAUAUUUAAUGUAGAAUUGAAAUUAUACAUAGACGAAUAUGCAUAUAUAUAAAUACGAUUAUAUAUAGUUGUACAUGUGUGUGUGCGUGCCUGUAUAUGUGUGUGUGUGCGUGCCUGAAUGUGUGUGUGCGCGUGCCUGUGUGCGUGUAUUUUCAAUCAAUCAUGGCGUAGGCUUAAUCUUGUGUUACGUAGAAGCUUAGAUGCAUUCGGGAGGUGCGUCGGGUAAGGAAGAUUAGGGAAAGAAGAGUCUACUGUCUCACCUUCUAUUUCAUUACAUAAUUACUUUACAGGUGUUGCACUUUACAGGUAUAUCCAUUUAACCUUUUACUACAUCAUAUAAGUUAGGUAUAGGCAGUUAACCUUAGAGAUGGGUGAUAAUUAAAAUAGUAUCCCCCUAUAUAAAAAAAACACAUCAAAGGUUAGGUCCAUAUUCUCAGACACUUCAGAGCUCGCAUACCCACAUUUGGCAAGGCUCUCAUUGGGGCUGUUGCAAGUGUGUCCAUGGGUAGUUUUAUGAGCCUAGUGAUGGUUUGACAAGGCUUCCGCACACUGUUGCCAAAUUAUCGUACUCAGAGCAUACUGUUUACCAGUUUCUGACGCAUAACUAUUGCCAAGAAACAUCAGCAAUUAACUAUUUUAACCCGGUAGCAGCGAUGGGCCAAAUUUGUGGGUUUACCGUGUACCAGCGAUGGGCCAAAUUUGUGGCUUUACCGUGUACAAGUGAUGGGCCAAAUUUGUGGCUUUACCAUGUACCAGCGACGGGGCAAAUUUGUGGCUUUACCAUGUAGCAGCGAAGAGCCAAAUUUUUGCCAUGAUAUAAACCCCCAAAAAUAGAUGAUGCAUAAACUGAUCACAAAUACGUUGAUAUAUAUUAUGAAAUGGUUUGCGUGAGUGAUGAUUUUUUCUCAUUUUUCUCGCUUAGAGGGAAGGACCUUUAAGAAACAUGAUCCCCACAGCUACCGGGUAAACGAUAACUACAAAUUAAUCUCGUAGUUGGGGCCGAGGUGACGUUUUUUGUGUCGGAAAUCAGUAAAUAUUAGCGGCUGAGCACGACAAUCGGGCAACGUUCUUCUGCACCAUGAACGUGAGAAAACCCUUACAAGAACCUGACUAACCUUCUUUGUGGCCUUGGGAAGUAGUUGUUGAGAGCUGAAGGAGACUGGUGUUAUCAAAUGCUUCUUUUUCUUGUUAUGACCUCUUUUUUUAACCCGGUAGCUGCGGGGAUCAUGUUUUUUAAUGGUCCCUCCAAGCGAGAAAAAUGAGAAAAAAUCACCACUCACACAAACCAUUUCAUAAUAUAUAUCAAAGCAUUUGUGAUCAGAUUAUGUAUCAUCUAUUUUGUGGGGUUUAUAUCAUGGCAGAAAUUUGGCCCGUCGCUGCCACACGGUAAAGCCACAAAUUUGGCCCGUCACUGCUACAUGGUAAAGCCACAAAUUUGGCCCGUCGCUGCUACCGGGUUAAGGCCACAGAGCAGUUACAUAAGGUUGUCAUGAGUCUAUUCCCUGUUCGUAGCGUGGAAGCCUUGCAAACCUACCACCAGGGUCUUAAAACCACCCAUGGAAAUCCCUGGCAACUUUCACAAGAACCUUUUAAAUACAUAACGCUCUGAGGAGUUUAAGAAUAUCGACCUGAGAUUUUAUAAUUAUUUCUGUCUCACCUUCUUGGCCAGGUAGAGCGAGCCUUAAGGUCUGUUCCGAGGCACCAUGACACGAGAGAGUUCCUGUAUUAUUGUUAUCGCUUCUUACUGUUACAAGUUCUAUCUUUCGCCCUGAGCUUAGCGUGUGUCAGAGAGGCGGUAGUGUACGUGUGUUAAGUUAAAUUUGCUGGGUGUGAGGACCAAGGGAUCGGCUGAAGUGGAAAGUGUUGCUGUUGUGUGUUAUGUCUUGUCAAAUUGGCGACGCUGUUACUAGUUAUGUUGUCAGAUGGGUGUCAAAUAAGGGAUACUAGCAUUGGGUACCUUGUCAAAUGAGAUACUACUACUAGGUAUGUUGUCAAAUGGGUGUCAAAUGAGGGAUACUAGGAAUGGAUAUCUUGUCAAAUGGGUGUCAAAUGAGGGAUACUAGGAUUGGAUACAUUGUCAAAUGAAUGUCAAAAGAGAUACUACCACUAAAUAUCUUGUCAAGUGGGUGUCACAUGAGCAAAAGUACCCUUAGAUAUCUUGUCAAAUGGAUGUCAAAUGAGGGAUGUCAGCAUUGUAUAACUUGUCAAAUAAGUGAUAUUGCCAUUGGAUAUCUUGUCAAAUAGGUGUCAAAUGAGAUACUGACAUUAGAUAUCUUGUCAAAUAGGUAUCAAAUGAGCAAUACUACACCUAGAUAUCUUGUCAAAUAAGUGUCAAAUGAGAUACUACUUUUAGAUAUCUUGUCAUAUAGCUGUCAAAUGAGAUACUACCAUUAGAUAUCUUGUCAAAUAGGUCUCAAAUGAGUGAUAUUGCCAGUGGAUAUCUUGUCAAAUGGCUUAAAGUAUCAUUAGGUGUCGCGUCAAAUGGGCAUCUUCAUUAAACAUCCUGUCAAAUUGUCGAUGCUACGAUUCAGUGUCCUGUCAAAAUGGUGAAUUGACCUUUAAGAUAUCCUGUCAAAUGGAUGGUUUUUCGGACAUAUAUUUAAGCUUAUGUUCAUUCAAGCUUACGAUCUCUAAAAAGUAUAUAAUUGUACUUUUAAAUCAGGCUUACCUCUUUUUUUUCCCAGCUUAUUUAGGCUUGCAAAAAAAUCAUAUGCCUGGAUUACUUUUGGGUUUUCAGACAUUCAUUUAAGCUUAUGUUCAUUCAAGCUUACAAUCUCUAAAAAGUAUAUAAUUGUACUUUUAAAUCAGGCUUACCUUUUUUUUUUCCAGCUUAUUUAGGCUUGGAAAAAAAUUAUAUGCCUGGAUUACUUUUGUGUUUUCAGACGUUCAUUUAAGCUUUUAUUCUUUCAAGCUUACGAUCUCCACAAAAGGUAUAUAAUUGUACCUUAAAAUCAAGCUUACCUCCUUUUUUCCCAGCUUAUUUAGGCUUGCAAAAAAAUUAUAUGCCUGGCUUAAUUUUGGGUUUUCGAGACAUUCACUCAUUCAAGCUUAUAUUCAUUCAAGCUUUCCCAUCUCUAAAAAAAGUAUAUAAUUGUACCUUCAUAUCAGGCUUAACUCCUUUUUUUCAGCUUAUUUAGGCUUGGAAAAAAAAUUAUAUGCCUGGAUUUAUUUUGGGUUUUCAUUCAUUCAAGCUUAUAUUCAUCCAAGCUUUCCCAUCUCUAAAAAGUAUAUAUUAAAUCUCUAUAUCAAGCUUACCCCAUUUUUUUCUAGCUUAUUUAGGCUUGGAAAAAAAUUAUAUGCCUGGAUUAAUUUUGGGUUUUCAUUCAUUCAAGCUUAUAUUCAUCCAAGCUUUCCCAUCUCUAAAAAGUAUAUAUUGAAUCUCUAUAUCAAGCUUACCCCAUUUUUUUCCAGCUUAUUUAGGCUUGCAAAAUAUUAUAAUGUCCCUGAAUUAUUUUUGGGUCAAGCUUAGCCUUAAAAAUCAAGGUGUUCAUUAUGUCUAUUUUAGGUUACGGCAACAAGCUCGGUGACGUUUCCUAGUUGGUGUUUCCGUAUGUAAUUUUUGUAUGUACCGACGUGCUAAUUUUUCUUCUUUUGUUAUUAAUCUCAAAUGGUUUCUUUAUCGUUAAGAGCUGAAGGAGGUGGACGGGAUGGGUUGGCUAGGCAGAAACGGCUUGUUCUUUUUGUUCUUCUUUGUUUAGCAUCCUUAUAUUCCUUCAUGUUUUUUUUUUUUAUAGCAAUGGAGUCAGUUCAAGGGCAUAAAAAAAGGAGACAAUAAUGGAAGAAAAAAGCCCGCUACUCACUGCUCCUAAAAAGAGUUAGAGGAGUGGCCGAAAGAUAGGUCAGUUUCGGGAGGAGAGGUGUCCCUGGUUUGUUGAUGUCGGAAAACUGUUAACCAUUUUUUUGUCCUGGUGGAAGUCUCGGAAAGUGUUGUAAAAGGGAGCAUGUUGAGUCUUCUUUGUUAAUUCAUUCAGAACUCGCACACAAACACCCUCUUUCCGAGUCACCCGUUUCUUUCCUCGGCGGCACUCGUGUUGAUGGCAAUGGUGGUGGCUUUCGCUCUCCUCCACACUCCUCUCGUUCACCCCUUGCAUGCCUGUCAGCCAAUAGUGAGGGACAAGAGUUACGUCAGCCUUAAAAAUACACUCACAGGACCAUGGGGUGAAGAGGAGGAGGAGGAGGAGGAGGAGGAGGAGGAGGACAUGAUAAGCACCCAGCCACAACCACCAAACAAGAAAAACGAAGAUAAUUCCAACUCCAUUUCGCAUUCAUCCCUUCCGCUACAGCCGCCGCCGCCCUCGCUCCGCCACGCCGCUAUCCCGAAGACGCAAUGUGAUACCUUUUAUUUAUUUCCCCUGUACAGUACUUAACGGAACUUGCCUAGCGUACACACACACACACACUGUUUCCCUCUCGUGCAUAUCAGCGACAGCGGGAGGCACAGGCUGGGGGGCGUCUGUAGGGGAGCGUUGUGUUUGCCUCUGGUCAUGCCUGUGUCUCCUGUCUGUCUGUCUUGUCUUGUGAAGGGUAAAGUGAGGCCUUGUUGACGUGUUUUCUGGUGGAUUCGUAAACUUUGGACCCAGAAACAUGUAUUGAAUCUCCAGUUCAAUUUCAGAGUUCAAGUUCAGAGUGGUUCAGUUUCUAUUAGCCAGUUCAAGUUCAGUGGUUCAAUUUCUAUAAGCCAGUUCAAGUUCAGAGUGGUUCAGUUUCUAUUAGCCAGUUCAAGUUCAAGUUCAGUGGUUCAAUUUCUAUUAGCCAGUUCAAGUUCAAGUUCAGAGUGGUUCAGUUUCUAUAAGCCAGAGGAAGGUCUUACACAUCAGGAGUAGUCGAGAAAGAUGUUAAAAGCUUGUAAUAUGAGCUACAAGAACACUCAAAGGCUAGUAAUGUCAGAAAGUGUAAGAACUAACACUAAAAUAGGCUUAAGAAUUCAUAAUGACAUUGAAAAGUGUAAAAAUCAAUCACAAAACAUGUUAAAAAUUAGUAAGAAUCCAUAUCGUUAUAAAAAUGAAUAUAAAAAAAACUGAGAAAGUGUAAAAACUAAUGCUAAAAUAGGCUCAAAAAUUCAUAACGACAUCAAAAAGUAUAAAAAUCAACCACAAAACACGUUAGAAAUUUGAAUCCAUAUCAGUAUUAAAAAUGAACGUAAAAUUCCUGAGAAAACGCCAAAAUCAAGGGUCUCACUAUACUCUACAUCUUCCCUCAGUGGUGAUGGUGGUCGUGAUGGUGUAACUGUUUUCCCUUGAGAGCAGAGCAGCUUUGUACAGUACAGUGAUUUAUCCCACAUGUAAAUAUAAAUCCAGUCUUCGGAGGGCAUCGUCUGCAAGUGCAUGGCAAAAAAACAACAACCCCAAACCCCAACCCUGUAUAUUCCACUCCUUCGCCCUCCUCUCAUCUCUUCCCAACAGUUUAUUUGAGGAAGAACGCUGAUGAUGAUAUGAGUGACUUAUGUACAUGUAUAUAUAUAGUAAUGUUAGUUAAUGAUAGACCAGAGCUUGGAUUUCUACUCAUAUUUAUUGGUAGUCAUAAAACGUCGACCCUCGGCUUGGAAGUAUUGAAAGGAGGAACAUAAUUUUGAUGAGGUAAUGAAGAGAGCGAGUGAGAGAGAGAGAGAGAAAGGGGAAUAAGGUUCAGGUCUUGUCUAAUCACUUCUGUCACGCUUCUGACCCCUUAAGAAAUGUAAACUUAUACACAGACACAAUUUUAUGGCGUUUUGUAAUAUUGCUUUAAGUAACGACAGAGAGAUAGAGAGGCAUAAUGUGGGAAUCAAGGUGAUUGUCCAGCCAUAUAUAAGAGUUCUGACCCCUCGUAAUGGAGAGCUAAAAGGUGUGACAAGAAUUUGAUGGCGUUUUGUAAUAUUGCUUUAAGUAAUGACGUGAGAGAGAGAGAGAGGGUAUAAUAUGAGAAUCCAGGUCAUCGUCUAGCCAUAUGUAUAGAGUUCUGACCCCUCGUAAUGCAGAGCUAAAAGGUGCGACAAGAAUUUUAUAGCGUUUUGUAAUAUCGCUUUAAGUAAUGACAGAGAUAGAGGGGGUCAUCGUUUUGCCACAUGUAUAGAGUUCUGACCCCUCGUAAUGGAGAGCUAAAAGGUGCGACAAGAAUUUGAUGGCGUUUUGUAAUAUCGCUUAAGUAACGACAGAUAGAUAGAGAGGGUAUAAUAUGAGAAUCCCGGUCAUUGUGUAGCCGUAUGUACAGAGCUCUGACCCCUCGUAAUGCAGAGCUAAAAGGUGCGACAGAAAGUAAUGAGAGAUAGAGGGGUCAUAAUGUUAGAAUCCAGGUCAUCGCCUAGCCACAUGUAUAGAGCUCUGACCCCUCGUAAUGCAGAGCUAAAAGGUGCGACAGAAAGCAAUGAUACAAAAGAGAGGAAGAGAGCGCCUUUCCAUGUUAGUCUCGGCCACUGUCUAGCUACAUGUAUAGAGUCCUGAGCCUUUGAAAUGGCAGUGUUAAUAAGCGACGUGAUCUGAAAGUCGAGAAACGUAAUGUUGGCUGGGUGAUUUUUUUUAUUUAUUUAUUAUUAUUUUUUUUACAGCAGAGGAGUCAGUUCAAUGGUGGUAAUGAUGUAAGUGUGAGGGAGAACCAGUUGGUGAGGGUCUGUGUGUCUAGCCUUUUGUACAUUAGCUUUGAUCUUGCGGCGAUGCGAGUUUAUAGGAAGUUACGUUAUGCUUAGGUUGACGACUGUUAUAUACUGUUGAAAAUGAUGAGAUUGAGAGAGGGGUUAAACUGUGGGCAUUAGGGUCAUGUGUGUAUAGGAACUCACAUCUCUCUGGUCUCUCGGAAAUGUAAAGUUGUCAAGUGAUUCGUACUGAUAAGAUUGAAGAGUUUAUAAAUGAGGAAAUAGGAGAGGGAAGGAGGAAAACAGUGGGCAUCUUUCGCCUCUCUGAUAUCAGGCGAUUCGUACUGAUAAGAUUGAAGAGUUUAUAAAUGAGGAAAUGAGAGGGAAGGAGGUGAACAGUGGGCAUCUUUCGCCGCUCCGAUAUGCAAAGUUGUCAGGUGAUUCGUACUGAUAAGAUUGAAGUGUCUAUAAAAGAGGAAAUAAGAGAGAGGAAGGUGAACAGUGGGCAUCUUUAGCCGCUCCGAUAUGGUUUAGGUUGACGAGUGUUAUGUACCGUUUAUACCGAUGAAAUGAGAGGGGCAGACAGUGGACAUUAGGGUCUGUAUCUAGCCAUUUGUAUAUUAGCUUUCGUCCCUUUGAAAUGUUACGUCAGGCAAUACGUAAUGAAGUUUUAGGAUGUUACGUAAAGCUGAAAUGUUACGUCAGGCAAUGCGGAAUGAAGUUUUAGGAUGUUACGUAAAGCUGAAAUGUUACGUGAGGCAAUACGUAAUGAAGUUUUAGGAUGUUACGUAAAGCUGAAAUGUUAUGUCAGGCAAUACGUAAUGAAGUUUUAGGAUGUUACGUAAAGCUGAAAUGUUAUGUGAGGCAAUACGUAAUGAAGUUUUAGGAUGUUACGUAAAGCUGGUAAUGAGAGUAAUGUAUUGGCCGUGUCCCGCCACUUGUGUCUAUACUGUUCAAGACUUCCAUCCAUUAUGUACUCAGAUGAAUAAUGGAACUGUAUAAAGAAGGGCCGGACAGACCGUGAUGGAAGGGAUGACAAGUGAAUACGCUGUGAAAUUCAUGAACUUGUUUUUCUGAUGGUGGGAAAUUGUGAAUCAUAAUAAUAUUGGUAUAUAGCAUGUG